rnacentral:lncRNA from 1 species
CCCCUGUCCCUUGGUUCGCCCCCCCGUCCCUUGGUUCUAGUAAUAUCCAAUUCUUUGUUAACAGAAAAUCGUUUGUUUUUGGGGGGGGAUUCUGGGUUUUGCUCAUUUGGGGUUUUUCUCAAAGGAAAAAACCAAGUUUAAGGAUGAACAGUCUUGUGCUUGUGAAUAAACACUAGUUAUUCAGUGGGAACAAUUUAUUCUAAUGGUAAUUCAGUAAGGAAAGGUGGAAUGACAACCCAUAAAGCCUUUACAUGUUACCCUAAUAAAUACUGUUGGUUAAUUCACAGUGCUAUGUUUUCCAUUUCUGGAUGAUUGGUUUGCAAUGAAUAACAAUGGAUGUAAUAUGAUUUCUGCAUGAAGAACAAACAAGGCAGAAACAUAAUACUAAAGAUUGUUACACUUUUCAUUACGUCGCAAGAGAGACUCAACCCUACGACAACAUGAAAUGGUUCUGCUGUUAUGAGACUCAACCAGAGAUAGAUGUUUUUAUAUAUAUAUAUAUAUAUAUAUAUACACUAGAUGACUACCAGGGGGUGCUGUUAUGAGACUCAACCAGAGAUAUGUUUAUAUAUAUACUAGAUGACUACCAGGGGGGGCUGUUUUGAGGCCACCGCACCUCCAUCUUGGCUCUCCCCCGCUGUAGUCAUUUUAUUUUGAAAGCUGUAGAAAUGCAUUAAUGACUAUUUGUUUUUGUCAUGUUUAUUAUAUUACAGACACAUUCAUGCCUUCUGUUAAAUGAAAUUGCCAGCUAAAAUGUUUAAAUAAAUUGAAUUUUCUAUCAAAUCAAA